rnacentral:rRNA from 1 species
GAUGAACGCUGGCGGCGUGCUUAACACAUGCAAGUCGAACGGAAAGGCCCAAGCUUGCUUGGGUACUCGAGUGGCGAACGGGUGAGUAACACGUGGGUGAUCUGCCCUGCACUUCGGGAUAAGCCUGGGAAACUGGGUCUAAUACCGGAUAGGACGAUUGUUUGGAUGCCAUUGUGGAAAGUUUUUUCGGUGUGGGAUGAGCUCGCGGCCUAUCAGCUUGUUGGUGGGGUAAUGGCCUACCAAGGCGUCGACGGGUAGCCGGCCUGAGAGGGUGUACGGCCGCAUUGGGACUGAGAGACGGCCCAGACUCCGACGGGAGGCAGCAGUGGGGAAUAUUGCACAAUGGGCGCAAGCCUGAUGCAGCGACGCCGCGUGGGGGAUGACGGCCUUCGGGUUGUAAACUCCUUUCGCUAGGGACGAAGCGUUUUUGUGACGGUACCUGGAGAAGAAGCACCGGCUAACUACGUG